CCUACGGGGGGCAGCAGUGGGGGAUAUUGCACAAUGGGGGGAACCCUGAUGCAGCGACGCCGCGUGGGUGAAGAAGCGCCUCGGCGCGUAAAGCCCUGUCAGCAGGGAAGAAAAUGACGGUACCUGAAGAAGACGCCCCGGCUAACUACGUGCCAGCGGCAGCGGUAAUACGUAGGGGGCAAGCGUUAUCCGGAUUUACUGGGUGUAAAGGGGGCGCAGACGGCGAUGCAAGCCAGGAGUGAAAGCCCGGGGCCCAACCCCGGGACUGCUCUUGGAACUGCGUGGCUGGAGGGCAGGAGGGGCAGGCGGAAUUCCUGGGGGAGCGGUGAAAUGCGUAGAUAUCAGGAGGAACACCGGUGGCGAAGGCGGCCUGCUGGACUGCAACUGACGUUGAGGCCCGAAAGCGUGGGGAGCAAACAGGAUUAGAUACCCUUGUAGUC
rnacentral:rRNA from 1 species